rnacentral:rRNA from 1 species
GCGCGCGCGCGCCGGGCCGCCCCGCGGGGGGGGGGGGGGUGGUAAAAAAAUCUUUUUUCCAGCCCACUCUCUUCUUUUUUUUUUGGGGGAGGAAAAGCCCCCCCAGAAAAAAAUUUUUGGUUUUAAAUUCCUUUUUAAAACCCCCCCAAAGAUUUCCCCUGUUUUUUAAGGUUUAAAAGGUUUCGGGUAAAAGAAUGGGGCUUGGGGGCCCCUUUUUUUUUUUGGGGAGGGAAAUGGCUCCCCAAAGAUUCCGAUGGGUAGGGGUUUUGAGAGGGAUUUUCCCCCCCCUGGGUUUUGAGGCCGGGGCCAAACUCCUCGGGGGAGCAGCAGUGAGAAUAUUGCGCCAAUGGACGAAAGUCUGACGCAGCCAUGCCGCGUAAGGAUGACGGCGCUACGCGUGUAAACUUCUUUUAUAUACCAAGAAACCUUCGGACGUGUCCCGAGCUGACGGUAGUAUAUGAAUAAGCACCGGCUAACUCCGUGCCAGCAGCCGCGGUAAUACGGAGGUGCAAGCGUUUAUCCGGAUUUAUUGGGUUUAAAGGGUCCGUAGGCGGAUCAUUAAGUCAGUGGUGAAAUCCGACAGCUCAACUGUCGAACUGCCAUUGAUACUGGUGAUCUUGAGUACGGUUGAAGUAGGCGGAAUAUGACAUGUAGCGGUGAAAUGCUUAGAUAUGUCAUAGAACACCGAUUGCGAAGGCAGCCUACUAAGCCGUUACUGACGCUGAGGGACGAAAGUGUGGGGAGCGAACAGGAUUAGAUACCCUGGUAGUCCACACCGUAAACGAUGAUUACUCGGUAUUGGCUUUAUUGUCAGUGCCCAAGCGAAAGUGAUAAGUAAUCCACCUGGGGAGUACGGCCGCAAGGUUGAAACUCAAAGGAAUUGACGGGGGCCCGCACAAGCGGUGGAGCAUGUGGUUUAAUUCGAUGAUACGCGAGGAACCUUACCAGGGCUUAAAUGUAGAACGACCGGGGUGGAAACACCCCCUUUUUCGAACGGUCUACAAGGUGCUGCAUGGUUGUCGUCAGCUCGUGCUGUGAAGUGUCGGGUUAAGUCCCAUAACGAGCGCAACCCCUAUUUCUAGUUGCCAGCGGUUCGGCCGGGGACUCUAGAGAAACUGCCAGCGUAAGCUGUGAGGAAGGUGGGGACGACGUCAAAUCAUCACGGCCCUUACGUCCUGGGCCACACACGUGCUACAAUGGUGGGGACAACGAGUUGCCAACCCGCGAGGGUGAGCUAAUCUCUCAAACCCCAUCUCAGUUCGGAUCGGAGUCUGCAACUCGACUCCGUGAAGUUGGAAUCGCUAGUAAUCGCGCAUCAGCCAUCGUCGCUGAUUUGCCCCC